GAGGAUAUAGUUCAAUAGUAGAACAUCUGCCUAGCAUAUGUGAGGCCCUGGGUUCAAUCCCCAGUAUCAUCA
rnacentral:tRNA from 1 species